rnacentral:lncRNA from 1 species
CUUGCGGCCCUAGCCGUGUUUGAAAACUGCUAAUUGGUGAUGCUUGGUCGUGGUUUUAGACUGUUUGUCCCGCCAGGCCACACCCGGCCGUCGAUGCGGCCCUUAACACACCGCGGCCGUGAGGUGCGGUGUUUUGACGGUUUGGGCCCUCGGUGCCAACUUAUUGAUGGCGUUAACCAGAAGACCGUGUGGGUUUUGUAUACCCAUAACCACCCAUAGGGAUUGGGUACCUUGCUGGGUUGGAUGAGGAUAUUUUGGAAAAUGGUUACAACUAUGUCAAGACUUUAAAUUGUGUGGAGCAUCUGCGAUAUCCUUUACAUUUAUUUGCAACACCUAAGUUAUCUAGCACAUUUUUAAACUUUCAUCAGUCCGCAAAGUCAAAGAUCAUUUUUAAGUCUGCAUUAAGAAUCACCGGGUCCGGUGUUCGAGUGUGGGAUCUAUGCAUAUGUCUGAAUGACGAAGUAUUUCUAUCAACUAGCUCAUUUUGUAUUUACUUCAUCCUGUGUUGCCAGAAAGUAUUGUGUGGCACCACUUUAAAGGGAGUAUACUACCUUUUGUAUUUUUAACUUAUUGUUACAUGAGACACGUCUGAUUAGCUCAAUGAUGCCAGUUUUCUCGAAAUCCUUUUAAACAGCUUAGAACUGCGAUUUGAAGCAGCCGCUUCUGUGGUAGAAAUUUCAUUGGACCCCCUGCUUAUCACUAUGCAAGUAGCGCAAUUGAUUCGCAUUGCUUAUCCGGCGCAUGAGUUCUGUAAUAUUUCUAAGAAACCAAUUUUUCGAAACGCUUCCGCGAGAAAUGCUAUGAAAGCUUGCGACACUGUCUAGCGAAAAAGAUGUGCAGACAUGAGGCCAUUAUCUCGCGAAUUCAACACAACUUUGCUAGUUUUCGUUCUUAAUGAAAAAUUGCGAAAGCCAACUGCAGCGUUUAUCCAAAGUGUGCUUAGCGCCGUAAGGACAUUAGUGAUCUCAUUUACCUUCACUUUUCGAUCGAAUUCACGCAUCUGUUUCUGCCCACUUCAAAAGGUCGGAGUUUGCCACCAGGAAAAGAUCGAUAAUAACCUUCAAACUUGAAAACAUUUCCUCUACAUGUCUACCCUGCUCCAAACCUCACCACACAAAGAAACAUCCGCCGUCGGCAGUACAGCGCAGAUCACGUGCAGAAGCCCCGAAGCUCCCCGUGCGGCGCGGCGGUCAAACGAGAGGACUUUGUUUACGCCUGGCGAGCAACCAGAGCUCGGUCGGGGCUCACUGCUCAGCGUCCAGCGCUGCGGCAGGCGCCCGUGGCCGGUCCAGCGGGAGGGAUGCGCGUCCUGCUGCUGCUCCUGGCUCUGGCCGCCGGAGGGGCUUCCGCCGCACAUACUGCCGCAUUGGGGCCGGCAGAAGAGGAUGGCGCGUUGCGAGAGCCUAUCCGUGGGACUCUCAGGGGUGUCUCGUUAAUACAACCGAACACGAGAGAAGCGGACGCCUCCUUGGAAGAGCCCCUCCGAGGUGCCCUCCGGGAUGUAUUGCUAAGGCAGCCGAAAGUUGGAGAGGACGGUGCCAGCUUACCAGAAUCCCUUCGGCAUACUGUCAGGGCCGGCUGGCAAAGCAGCGGAAUACGUCUGGCAGCGCCUGCGCAAGGCGGCGCCGGCGACGGACCGCUGCGCACGUUCAUGAUCGUGUCAGCCCUGGGUGCGCUGGUCGUCAUCGCCGGAGCGGUCCUGAUGUGGCGCUCCAGAGGCAGGGGCGCCCGCUCGCCGUUCACGCGCAGAGAAUACCUGCCGGCGUAGCGAGCGGAACUCGCGUGUCGCGAUCACCUGACGAAGCCGUAUGUGACGGCAUAAAACUACUCCGUGUGUUA